rnacentral:rRNA from 1 species
UACGGGGGGGGCAAGCGUUGUUCGGAAUUACUGGGCGUAAAGGGCUCGUAGGCGGCCAACUAAGUCAGACGUGAAAUCCCUCGGCUUAACCGGGGAACUGCGUCUGAUACUGGAUGGCUUGAGGUUGGGAGAGGGAUGCGGAAUUCUAGGUGUAGCGGUGAAAUGCGUAGAUAUCUGGAGGAACACCGGUGGCGAAGGCGGCAUCCUGGACCAAUUCUGACGCUGAGUGAGCGAAAGCCAGGGGAGCAAACGGG